rnacentral:sRNA from 1 species
CAUGGAGACGCUGUACCCCCUACAUCUAUCACACCAUGAUCAAGUCCCACACACCUGUGAACCUCUUCCCAAGGUGAAGCCACUAAAGCCCAAAGGCAAGGAGAAUCUCUCCUGGGAUGACAAGGCUCCAGUGUGCACUUGGACUCCAAGGUUCUCCAUGGGCCUCAGAACAUCACUAGAGCUCUGGAGAAGGCUGACACUGCUAUUGACAGGACCAGACAGAUCCAGCAAGAAAGUCAACAGUACAUCUCCAAGCCCUUGACUAGAAGUGACACUGAAGGUUGAGAAAAAUCAUAAGAAAGACAAAUCCGGUGAUGAGCUUGAUUACAUGAGCUGUGGCUAUCAGUUUACUCCAUUCAGAAAACGCCCAGGGAGCAGGGGACAUGCUUCCUCUGCCAAUCCUGUGUCCUUCCCAGUCCAAUAAGCAACGAGGAGAUCUGAGCUGCCCGCAAGGCCAAGGAUUCUCUUACUUUUCCUCUGUUCCCAUAGUCUAGACGCACUCUGAGGACCAGACCCCAAGUCAGAUAGGCGUCUACCCCUCUGCCACACCAGAGGCUGCUCCAUUUUCAGGUGAAUCUGAGGAGACUUGAGUUGCAUGAGGGGUAAGAUUCAAGUGACUGAACAAGCAAGGCCAAACUUUGUGUCUCACUGUCUGACUGUACCAGCAAGAGCCCAGGAGCUUGGAAUUCUGGACUAGGGUUUGUAGUCCAGCAGCAGGAAGGUAAUCAGUAUAGGUCAAGUUGUAGCCAUCUGUAGAUCCACCCUGUCCCCAGCUCUGCCUCAGAGAAAUCACCAUGAGCUCCUGAGGCUUUGCAAAGUGACCACAGAGAACAGGUAGUUCUUGAGCCUAGAGCAUCUGAAACAAGAAACUUCCUGCAGGGCUGCAUCUGACAGGCCUUGAGAGGGUGCUACUCGGUCCUGGCAAGGUGCUGUAUCCGGCUGAUUUCCAGUUUUUGCCAGGACACUUAGGGCUCAGUCAGAUUUUGUGACAGGUCCCUGUGCUUAGAGUCCCUGUGGUAGAUCCAGGAGGGCCUGGAUCCUUGACACGAAUGCUGCCAGUUUCGUGAUGUCAUAAGCAACCCCUGAACGGCAGCCUGUCAUGCAAAGAUGUCCCCAGCUCCUUGGAACCCCCUCAGUAUAGGGACCUUCUUCACACCUGUAUCCACUGAAGGGGUCACUAUCACCAGCCUCUUUCUCUCCCAACCCCUGCACACUUGCUCCUUCCUCUCUCUUCCCCAACCACCACUCAGAGUGCAGGCCACCACCCACAGUGGCUAUCCAGACAUGGAGCUUCAAAUGCUGCUGGUUGGGAGAAUGUCCCUGGUGGUCUCUGCUGGGACAAUGGGAGGGGGGCAUCCUUCCAGCUGGGUGGUGGGGCUAAUCCCUGAGGCUCCAGGUAGGGGUCAGAGAGAACAGCAAAAGCAGGCAUACAAGGCAGCGGCCACUCAUGUAAAUGGGCAAGCUCCCUGGGACUUGCUGGCACCCGUGGUGCUGGUUUCUCUAUUCACUGGAGUUCCGUUGCUUGUCCCCACCCAACUUUAUAAACCCAACAGUUUAUGGCAGGCAGCUUGAGAGGCCUGACCUAGCUUUGCAGCUGUCUUGUUUAUCUCUGUUAAGGCCAAGGAGAGGAGAAGGGUGUGCUAGGCUCCUCUCUGAAAGGUGAUAGGAGUCCACCCUUUUUUGCAGGGCACUGGAGUGCCAUGAGAGCUGUUCUCCUGGACUCUGCCCAGGGGCCUCAGCCUAAGAGCUCUACUGAGAAGUGAUUCCUCUGAGGACACUCCCCAUGCGUGUCUGAUGGCUCCAUACAAGUCAAAAGAAGACUCCUGAGGAGUGCUUGUCAUGUCUACACACCAGACAGGAAGAAGACAAGCUUCCCUCCAGCUGUGAGAGCAUGAACAAGAAGUCGGCUCAUCUUGGCAGGGGUCUCUCGAGAGGCGUGGUCUCAGGUGGAGGAGGAGUUCCCAUGGAUCUGAGGCGCUCACUCCGGCUUCAUCUGCUCCUCACCAAUUACAGUUACAAAGACACUCCUCCUGAGGAAGACCACAUUUCCCAAGUAUCUGGAGUCAACAUUCAGACCACGGUUUGCUGAAGACAAGGAAAUGAAUGCCAAAUGUUCAAUGACCUCACUGAGCUCUUCUGAAGGGCCCUGGCUCACCUGCGGGGCCCUGGCUACCAGCAAUGUCUGGGCUUCUUUAUAGUAGUCCUGGUUAGACCCCUGCUGUCUCUGGUCCCUCUCCACAACCACUGCUUCUCUGUGACACUGGAGUGGGCAUCCGUUUGCAAAGCCUGACAAGGCUGUCAAUAGGUCAGGCAUCAAAUGGUUCUCAAAGCAAUUAUCCUGAAUAUUCCAUCCUCCGCCACAUACCUGCGCCUGCGUGGCUACUCACCAACAAAACUACCACGUGACUCUACCAGCCAGAGGGGCCUGUGGAUCCAGUGACCAACUGAUGAAAUCCAGGGAAGCAGCAUGGGGGAGGUGAGUGGCUAAGGGAACGAGCAGCUCCAGAAGCUGCUCUGUGCUUUCUGUCCCCUUUGCCCAGCCUGAGGACUGUGCUUGACCUCCCCUUGGGGCACGGUUGUUGCCACAGCCUGUGGUGACUUUGAGAAAGAUCACGACCAUAAAAAUGCUCAUGUGGGUACCCAUCUGUGACAAGAGGUGUGGUCUGACUGUCCACCUGAGCUUCUUCCCACCCUCAGCCUCUACCCUCUAAACUCCAGGGCACCCCUUCAUAUCUGCAAGAGGGUCUAGGAGCCCUGGUAAUUUAUGCUCACGUCUUUGACCCAGGCACUCUUAGGCAUGGCCAGCAGUGUUUCCUGCUCUGCCAGGCACAAGGUGGAGAGGCACCACAGAGAGAAAGGAACUUACGACCGCAGGUUACACAGACGUAAAACCAAGACACCAACAUAGACAGUAAUAGGAGUAAGCCUAGAGAAAAUGGAAAGCUUCAAAGAGGAUAAUACAAGAGGAAAAAAUGGUGCAUAAGAUGUGGAGAGGCAGGGCACAGGGGUGGCAGGGACCGAGUGAACCUGGGGAUCAGGCCAGGUAGCAGAGCCAGCAAGAUGGCUCAGUGGGAAGAAGAAGCAUUUGUCCUGCAAGCCCAACUACAUGAGUUCCGUUCUUGGAGCCAGUUUGUGUUGUAGGACUUGUGUACCCACAUGCACACACACAAAC